UUGGCUUCAGUUAUUCCCACAUUCCUUUAUCUGUACUUCUUUAUGCCUGGUUUUACCCUACUGAUCAGCUAGGACAACCGGCAUUACUAGGCACUGAUGGUGGCUGAGCUCACCCAGCAGAUUUUUGACUCCAAGAACGUAACGGCUGCCUCCGACCCCCGCCUUGGCUGCUACCUAACAGUGGCUGCUGUUUUCAGGGGCCACAUGUCCAUGAGGGAGGUGGACGCUUAGGGUCUAAAACAAGAGCAGCAGCAACUUUGCUGAUUGGA
rnacentral:lncRNA from 1 species